rnacentral:rRNA from 1 species
UGGGGAAUAUUGCACAAUGGGCGCAAGCCUGAUGCAGCCAUGCCGCGUGUAUGAAGAAGGCCUUCGGGUUGUAAAGUACUUUCAGUCGGGAGGAAGGUGUCAAGGUUAAUAACCUUGGCAAUUGACGUUACCGACAGAAGAAGCACCGGCUAACUCCGUUCCCGCAGCCGCGGUAAUACGGAGGGUGCAAGCGUUAAUCGGAAUUACUGGGCGUAAAGCGCACGCAGGCGGUUGAUUGAGUCAGAUGUGAAAUCCCCGGUCUUAACCCGGGAAUUGCAUCUGAUACUGGUCAGCUAGAGUCUUGUAAAGGGGGGUAGAAUUCCAUGUGUAGCGAUAAAAUGCGUAGAGAUGUGGAGGAAUACCGGUGGCGAAGGCGGCCCCCUGGACAAAGACUGACGCUCAGGUGCGAAAGCGUGGUGAGCAAACUGG